rnacentral:lncRNA from 1 species
GAGAGAGAGAGAGAGUAUCUUCCAGGAAAAAAAAUGAAGAAAAGACCAGACCACUAGAAAAGGAAUAUAACGUAAGAGGAGACAGAGAUCUGCAGAGAGGUUUUGGUUGCUUAUUACCACAAAACCAUUAAAGAGAAGUUGCUUGAAAAGCCAUUACAGAAAGUAGCCAAUACUUUAACGCUAUGAUCUGCAAAGAAAAAGAUAACUUUUUACAGGUUUUGAUCACUAAAAGGAUAUGAAAUUGAUGGUUCUGAAGAGGGAUUUCUCUGUUUAGCAAGAAAUGCUUUGAUCUUGAUUUAUACUGUUUCUGGUCGAAUUAGGGUUUUCAGAGAGAGAGAGAGAGAGCUAGAGAGGGUUGGGGGUUCUAUUUAACCAUUGAUCUCCGAGAAACAUAUUUCCCUUAAAAAAAUCACAGUGGGGUCUCCAUGAGAGAGAGAGAGAG